rnacentral:rRNA from 1 species
UAAGGAAUAUUGGUCAAUGGACGCAAGUCUGAACCAGCCAUGCCGCGUGAAGGAUGAAGGUCCUCUGGAUUGUAAACUUCUUUUAUAGGGGACGAAAAAAGGGAAUUCUUUCUCGUCUGACGGUACCCUAGGAAUAAGCACCGGCUAACUCCGUGCCAGCAACCGCGGUAAUACGGAGGGUGCAAGCGUUAUCCGGAUUUACUGGGUUUAAAGGGAGCGUAGGCGGGCAGGUAAGUCAGUGGUGAAAUCUCCGAGCUUAACUUGGAAACUGCCGUUGAUACUAUCUGUCUUGAAUGCUGUGGAGGUAAGCGGAAUAUGUCAUGUAGCGGUGAAAUGCUUAGAUAUGACAUAGAACACCGAUUGCGAAGGCAGCUCACUACGGAUGUAUUGACACUGAGGCACGAAAGCGUGGGGAUCAAACA